rnacentral:rRNA from 1 species
UACGUAGGGUGCAAGCGUUGUCCGGAAUUAUUGGGCGUAAAGAGCUUGUAGGCGGUUUGUCGCGUCUGCUGUGAAAUUUCGGGGCUCAACCCCGAACUUGCAGUGGGUACGGGCAGACUAGAGUGUGGUAGGGGAGACUGGAAUUCCUGGUGUAGCGGUGAAAUGCGUAGAUAUCAGGAGGAAUACCUAUGGCGAAAGCAGGUAUCUGGGCCAUCACUGACGCUGAGCUGCGAAAGCUAGGGGAGCAAACAGG